GUCCAGGGAUGGGAAUCGAACCCACAUUGUUCCGCUUACCGGACAGAUGCCAUGUCCACUAAGCUACCCUGGA
rnacentral:tRNA from 1 species